AACGAACGCUGGCGGCGUGGAUAAGACAUGCAAGUCGAACGAGAGAAUUGCUAGCUUGCUAAUAAUUCUCUAGUGGCGCACGGGUGAGUAACACGUGAGUAACCUGCCCCCGAGAGCGGGAUAGCCCUGGGAAACUGGGAUUAAUACCGCAUAGUAUCGAAAGAUUAAAGCAGCAAUGCGCUUGGGGAUGGGCUCGCGGCCUAUUAGUUAGUUGGUGAGGUAACGGCUCACCAAGGCGAUGACGGGUAGCCGGUCUGAGAGGAUGUCCGGCCACACUGGAACUGAGACACGGUCCAGACACCUACGGGUGGCAGCAGUCGAGAAUCAUUCACAAUGGGGGAAACCCUGAUGGUGCGACGCCGCGUGGGGGAAUGAAGGUCUUCGGAUUGUAAACCCCUGUCAUGUGGGAGCAAAUUAAAAAGAUAGUACCACAAGAGGAAGAGACGGCUAACUCUGUGCCAGCAGCCGCGGUAAUACAGAGGUCUCAAGCGUUGUUCGGAAUCACUGGGCGUAAAGCGUGCGUAGGCUGUUUCGUAAGUCGUGUGUGAAAGGCGCGGGCUCAACCCGCGGACGGCACAUGAUACUGCGAGACUAGAGUAAUGGAGGGGGAACCGGAAUUCUCGGUGUAGCAGUGAAAUGCGUAGAUAUCGAGAGGAACACUCGUGGCGAAGGCGGGUUCCUGGACAUUAACUGACGCUGAGGCACGAAGGCCAGGGGAGCGAAAGGGAUUAGAUACCCCUGUAGUCCUGGCAGUAAACGGUGCACGCUUGGUGUGCGGGGAAUCGACCCCCUGCGUGCCGGAGCUAACGCGUUAAGCGUGCCGCCUGGGGAGUACGGUCGCAAGAUUAAAACUCAAAGAAAUUGACGGGGACCCGCACAAGCGGUGGAGUAUGUGGCUUAAUUCGAUGCAACGCGAAGAACCUUACCUGGGCUUGACAUGUAAUGAACAACAUGUGAAAGCAUGCGACUCUUCGGAGGCGUUACACAGGUGCUGCAUGGCCGUCGUCAGCUCGUGUCGUGAGAUGUUUGGUUAAGUCCAGCAACGAGCGCAACCCCUGUUGCCAGUUACCAGCACGUGAAGGUGGGGACUCUGGCGAGACUGCCCAGAUCAACUGGGAGGAAGGUGGGGACGACGUCAGGUCAGUAUGGCCCUUAUGCCCAGGGCUGCACACGUACUACAAUGCCCAGUACAGAGGGGGCCGAAGCCGCGAGGCGGAGGAAAUCCUAAAAACUGGGCCCAGUUCGGACUGUAGGCUGCAACCCGCCUACACGAAGCCGGAAUCGCUAGUAAUCGCGGAUCAGAAUGCCGCGGUGAAUACGUUCCCGGGUCUUGUACACACCGCCCGUCACACCAUGGGAGUCGGAAAUGCCCGAAGUCAGUGACCUAACCUUUAAGGGAGGAGCUGCCGAAGGUGGAGCCGGUAACUGGGGUG
rnacentral:rRNA from 1 species